GGCGGAAGAAAACAGGUUGGAGCUGUUGUACAUUCAGUGGACUGAGCACCAUAAAAGGUUGUCCAAUUUCUUAAGGUUAUUUUUAUUUCUGGUCCAAAAGUGUCCA